rnacentral:rRNA from 1 species
CCUACGGGAGGCAGCAGUAGGGAAUCUUCUGCAAUGGACGAAAGUCUGACGGAGCAACGCCGCGUGAGUGAUGAAGGCUUUCGGGUCGUAAAACUCUGUUGUUAGGGAAGAACAAGUUGGGUAGUAACUGACCCGACCUUGACGGUACCUAACCAGAAAGCCACGGCUAACUACGUGCCAGCAGCCGCGGUAAUACGUAGGUGGCAAGCGUUAUCCGGAAUUAUUGGGCGUAAAGCGCGCGCAGGUGGUUUCUUAAGUCUGAUGUGAAAGCCCACGGCUCAACCGUGGAGGGUCAUUGGAAACUGGGAGACUUGAGUGCAGAAGAGGAAAGUGGAAUUCCAUGUGUAGCGGUGAAAUGCGUAGAGAUAUGGAGGAACACCAGUGGCGAAGGCGACUUUCUGGUCUGUAACUGACACUGAGGCGCGAAAGCGUGGGGAGCAAACAGGAUUAGAUACCCUGGUAGUCCACGCCGUAAACGAUGAGUGCUAAGUGUUAGAGGGUUUCCGCCCUUUAGUGCUGAAGUUAACGCAUUAAGCACUCCGCCUGGGGAGUACGGCCGCAAGGCUGAAACUCAAAGGAAUUGACGGA